GAUGAACGCUGGCGGCGUGCCUAAUACAUGCAAGUCGAGCGAACAGACGAGGAGCUUGCUCCUUCGACGUUAGCGGCGGACGGGUGAGUAACACGUAGGUAACCUACCUAUAAGACUGGGAUGACUUCGGGAAACCGGAGCUAAUACCGGAUAAUAUUUCGAACCGCAUGGUUCGAUAGUGAAAGAUGGCUUUGCUAUCACUUAUAGAUGGACCUGCGCCGUAUUAGCUAGUUGGUAAGGUAACGGCUUACCAAGGCAACGAUACGUAGCCGACCUGAGAGGGUGAUCGGCCACACUGGAACUGAGACACGGUCCAGACUCCUACGGGAGGCAGCAGUAGGGAAUCUUCCGCAAUGGGCGAAAGCCUGACGGAGCAACGCCGCGUGAGUGAUGAAGGUCUUCGGAUCGUAAAACUCUGUUAUUAGGGAAGAACAAACGUGUAAGUAACUGUGCACGUCUUGACGGUACCUAAUCAGAAAGCCACGGCUAACUACGUG
rnacentral:rRNA from 1 species